UGUCAGCUGACCACUAACCUUUGUUCCUCUUCUGUAAAUUUCACCUGUUAACUUCCCUGCAACCCCCUAUAAAAGAGCCUCGGACUCUGGGCUAGUCGCCUCUCUAAGCUACUUUGCUUUGGGAGUGCCGUUUGGCCAGACUAAGGUCUGUUUUACUUUCCAACUUGUUCGGUGUGUUCCUUCCCGGGUGUUCUUCGCUGCAGUCAGCUCCUCGGAGUGUUUGAUGCUUAAAAGUGGAGAGAGUAAUGCUGAACUCCUGGGUUUUGCUGUAGAUUCUGUGGUCAUUGAACACAUCCAGGUGAGCCCAGCAACCAAGAUGCAUGGCCUCACACACACAGCUCCCUGCUCGGGAGCUCCCUUGCCACACUGGGAUGAUCCUGACUGAAAAGCAACAAACUGUCCCUAGAUCAGAGGAGGAGAAGGGUACAUAGAAGAAACAAAUAUCCCAGGAGAAACUGAAGAGACAAAAACUUAAUAGCACAGGAAUAAAUUAAGCAUAAAAUAAAUGCAAAUAAAUAUUUAAAAACCAAAACAAAAUUCAAACAUAUUAAUUCUCUUUGUGAAGAUUUAAAUAGCCUAAAGGUAAAAGCAGGAAGAGCUCUAAUGAGCAAGGCUAGCCUUGAACCCUUGGCAGUCCUCCUGCCUCAGCUUCCUGAGUGCUGGGAUUACUGGUUAAGCAACAGGUAUCUGUCACCUUUUUUGGGGGGGGGGUACUGGGGAUCAAACUCACGAACUUGUGCUUGCAAGGCAGGCAGGGGGCCCACUGAGCUAAAUCCCCGGCACUGUUACCUUUUUGUUGUUGUUUUGAGACCAGGUAUGUAGCUCAGGUGGAUUUUGAACUCACUAUGUAGCCCAGAUUGGCCUCACACUGGGGGUAAUCCUCCUGCCUCAGCCUCCAAGUGCUGGGAUUAUAGGCAUGUGCCUCCAAGCCCAGCUUUAUCACUGUUAUGGUUUGGGUCCAGAUGUUCCCCCCAAAGCCUUAUGGAUUAAUCUAGAGCGUGUGAAGCUGGAAUUAAUUCAUGAUGUAGUGCUAGGCUCAAGGGCACCAGGAUUAAGGGUGUGAGUGCUACCUGCCCUGCCCUAAGUAGUCUGAAUAAGAUAAAAGGGGCAAAGAGAUGCUGUUAACUCUCUUGUUGCUGUUGCUGCCUUGUGAGUACCAUAUUGUUUCUCCUCUGCAAUGCCUGUUUGCAAUCCCUGCCUUGGAGCCAGCUGGUUAUGGACUGAAACCUCUACAAACUGUGGGCAAAAUAAACCCCUUCCCCUUUAACUUUGUUUUGUUUUGUUUUUUUGAUACCAGGGAUGGAGCUCAGGUCCUUGUGCUUGCCAGGCAGGUGGCAGAACCACUGAGCUAAAUCCCCAGCCCCUUCCCCUUUAACUUUUGGUGUCGGGUAUUUUGUCUCAGCAACGAGAGAAAAGUAAGUAACACAGUCACUAUUUUUAUAUUACUCAUUUAAAUCUUGUAGCAACUCACAGUAGCUGAACUAAAACUUGGUUGCCUGAGGUGUUCUUGUGUAGACCUUUCUGAGAGCAAGAAAGGUGGUGAGACGUAUUUAAGGGGCUUUCUGUGGCCCCUUUUUGUAUGGGCAGAAAUGAUUAAGUGGAAAGUACAGUCAGCUUCCCUUAGUGUUAGAACUGGGAAACUGCCAUCAUCUGGUAGUUUAACUCCUUCCUCUGAAUUAACAAGCACCACAGAGGGAAAAUAACUUGUUGGGAGUACCAGGGAUUGAACCCAGGGCCUUUGCACUGAGCUACAUUCCCAGCCCCUUUCCCCUCUUUUUUAGACAGGUCUGGCUAAAUCACUAAACUGCCCAGGCUAGGCUCAAAUUUGUGAUCGCCCCUUAACCUCCCAAGCAUUUUCAAUUACAGGUGUGUGCCACCAUAUCCAAUUUUUUCUUUCUUAAAUAACUUGGGCCGGGGAUUUAGCUCAGUGGUUUCGCCCCCUGCUGUGCAAGCGCACAAGGACCCAAGUUCGAUCCCUGGUACCUAAAAAACCCCCAAAUAACUGAGUUUAGCCAGGUGUGGUGUCAUAUGCCUGUAAUUCCAGCACUGGGGAGGCUGAGGCAGGAGGAUUGAUUCAAGGCUAUCCUGAACUACACAGCAAGACUGUCUCAGAAAGAAAGAGAGAAAGAGUUUGGAGCCUAGCGUGGGGUCACAUGCCUGUAAUCCCAGUACUAAGCACUAUGGGAGGCUGAGGUAGGAUAACCCUUGCCUCAAAAACCAGAAAAGUUUAGGGCUGGGGAUUUAGCUCAGUGGUGCUGCCGCCUGGCUUGAAAGCAAAAGGUCCUGAGUUUGAUCCCUGGUAUCAAAACAAACAAAACCCAGAAAAGUUUAGAGCUGGGUGUGGUUGGUGCAUGCCUGAAUUCCCAGCACUUGGAGAGGCUGAGGCAGGAGGAUCAUCAUGAGUUCGAGGGCAGCCUGAACUAUACAGUGAGACCUUGUCUCAAAAAACCAAAAAUAAAAAAUAAAAAAAGUUUAGAACAGCAAUUAAUAGUAAAUGAUGGCCCAUUUCAUGUAUAUCCUGCUCUGACCUGUACAUUCUUCCUCCCAAAUCUCCUUGCUCUUAAAGUCUGUGCAUUCUCCCCUUCGCUUAGAGAAGCUGCCGGCCUCCAUUUCUAGUUUCAAGAGCC
ensembl:lncRNA